rnacentral:lncRNA from 1 species
UUGACUUCAAAUUAAUUGGAAUUGCCUUCUCGUUUUAGCUUAUAUUAAGUGCACCUCUCCCUACUUGAUGAUUCUUUAUGGACACUCGUUUCUUCAUCUAGGCAGGGAUCAGAAGCUGAGAGAUAGCCGUAAACUCUGAAGUGGUAGCUUUUUAUCUACUUUCUUUCUUUAAAGGCGUACAUCCAGUCCAAGCAGUUGCUCCCAGCUAGCGGAAAAGGUGAAUGUGAAUUCAUUUUUAUUAAAAAGAUGCUAUUUAAGCAUCAAGAUUGUGUUGGUGUUCAGUCAGCUGUACUAAAUGCAGAUUUGGAUGCCUCGUAUGAUAAAGAAGAGAGUUUUUACAAAGAUGAAGACCUAGAAAGCCCUAGAGCUAGAGCUUGUUGAGAAAGUUGCUUUGAAGAUGGGCUUCCUAUGGGAAAGAGGGAAGUUUAAAGCGAUAACAAAGGCCGUAGGGGAUAGGAUGUCUUUCUGCGUCUACUGAUGCUAAUUCGGAUGCUUUUGAAACAGCCUUGGCUAUCGGUCAUGUUCUCGAUCCUCGUUCCCACUCCCAU